rnacentral:rRNA from 1 species
AUUGAACGCUGGCGGCAUGCCUUACACAUGCAAGUCGAACGGUAACGGGCCUUCGGGUGCCGACGAGUGGCGAACGGGUGAGUAAUACAUCGGAACGUGCCCGAUCGUGGGGGAUAACGAGGCGAAAGCUUUGCUAAUACCGCAUACGAGCUACGGAUGAAAGCAGGGGACCGCAAGGCCUUGCGCGGACGGAGCGGCCGAUGGCAGAUUAGGUAGUUGGUGGGUUAAAAGCUUACCAAGCCGACGAUCUGUAGCUGGUCUGAGAGGAUGAUCAGCCACACUGGGACUGAGACACGGCCCAGACUCCUACGGGAGGCAGCAGUGGGGAAUUUUGGACAAUGGGCGCAAGCCUGAUCCAGCCAUGCCGCGUGCAGGAUGAAGGCCUUCGGGUUGUAAACUGCUUUUGUACGGAACGAAAAGCCUUCUUUUAAUACAGGAGGGUCAUGACGGUACCGUAAGAAUAAGCACCGGCUAACUACGUG